UAGAUUCCAGUGCUUAGCUCAGGGUGGAGGGACAUGUCAAAGUCUAGGAGUAUAGGAAGGGAUAUAGUGCAUAGUGGUGGUUCAGGGCGGAGGGAUAGGUCAAAGUCUGGGAGUAUAGGAAGAGAUAGAGUGCAUAGUGGUCAUUCAGGGCGCAGGGACAGGUCAAAGUCUAGGAGUAUAGGAAGGGAUAUAGUGCAUAGUGGUCGUUCAGGGCGCAGGACAGGGUCAAAGUCUAGGAGUAUACAUGUAGGAAGGGAUAGAUCGCAUAGUGGUGGUUCAGAGCGCGACAGUGUAUAUAGAUUUAUAACACCUAGACGCAGGGAGACUCAGAGAAGUUUAGAUAGUUUUUUAACAUUUAGUGGCUCAGGAUGCAGAAACAGCAGUGUAGAUAGGGUUAGAACCCCUGCUAGUUCAACCUCACAUGCAGGACAAAGAGGGAGGACUAUUAGAGGAUAGGUGUAGCAAGUCAGGGAUUGGAGGGGAGACUCCUGCUCGAAAAAGGUCCAGAGCGGCAUCUGAAAGUUCACGGCCUUCAACAAAAAGAUUUUGCUCUGCUGACGACAGAUACCCCAGCUCUUUCAGAAGCGAAAUUCCAGAAAGGUGUGAUCAAGCUGCUGCUUUCCAUCAGGGACACCAUGCUGCUGGACAUUGCCCUGAUGG
rnacentral:lncRNA from 1 species